rnacentral:rRNA from 1 species
CCUGACUGCUAUCGGAUUGAUACUAAGCCAUGCGAGUCAUUGUAGCAAUACAAGGCAGACGGCUCAGUAACGCGUAGUCAAUCUACCCUAUGGACGGGAAUAACCUCGGGAAACUGAGAAUAAUGCCCGAUAGAACAUUAUACCUGGAACGGUUUAUGUUUCAAAUGAUUUAUCGCCGUAGGAUGGGACUGCGGCCUAUCAGUUUGUUGGUGAGGUAAUGGCCCACCAAGACUAUUACAGGUACGGGCUCUGAGAGGAGUAGCCCGGAGAUGGGUACUGAGACACGGACCCAGGCCCUAUGGGGCGCAGCAGGCGAGAAAACUUUGCAAUGUGCGAAAGCACGACAAGGUUAAUCCGAGUGGUUUCUGCUAAAGAAACCUUUUGCUAGUCCUAGAAACACUAGUGAAUAAGGGGUGGGCAAGUUCUGGUGUCCAGC